UACGUAGGGGCUAGCGUUAUCCGGAAUUACUGGGCGUAAAGGGUGCGUAGGUGGUUUCUUAAGUCAGAGGUGAAAGGCUACGGCUCAACCGUAGUAAGCCUUUGAAACUGGGAAACUUGAGUGCAGGAGAGGAGAGUGGAAUUCCUAGUGUAGCGGUGAAAUGCGUAGAGAUAUGGAGGAACACCAGUGGCGAAGGCGGCUUCCUGGUCUGUAACUGACACUGAGGCGCGAAAGCGUGGGGAGCAAACAGGAUUAGAUACCCGUGUAGUCCCUGAGCGGG
rnacentral:rRNA from 1 species